CUCGCUCUCACUGUGAACACACUCAGUCUCUGCUCACUUAGUUGAUGUCUGUUGCUGUGCGUCGUUAAUGUCUCUUACUCAGUUAGUUUAUGUCUGUUGAUUGAGUGGAGCCUGGUUGAUUCCGUCUUUGCUCAAGGAAUCUGUUGACCCUACGUGGUCCAACAUGGGAGCUGGUUUAGGCCACAAUAUGCCUCCACUGCGUGGUCGUGACCACAUGCAAUCGCAAUACCCAACACAGGAAUCUUUAAUCCCGACAUGGCCCGAUAUGACACAGCAACCACAAUACUACAGCAGCACUUCCCAACAACCUCGCAAUGAUGUUACCGGGAUAGUUGAAGAAUUCUUUGGAGGUGCUAUUUUCGGCACAGAUGCCAGUUUGAUUCCCCCAAAUCUGGAAUCUCCAUACAUAUUUCAGACUCCAUCGCCAGCAGAUGAGACACGUACAGAGGAUAAGGAAAAUCAGUAUGGCCGAGGUUUGCGUCCACCUCAUCCCCCUCGUCCCCGGUUGUCGCCUUCCGGUCCAAGGCCACGGCAGCAACGUCGUCGUCGUCGACAGGAAUGAUACAAAUGGACCUUACUUCUAUGUAUCAUAUAUUUAUCUAUGUAUGAGACAUUUUUCUAUGUAUCUCGGAGACAUAUUAAUAUUAGUUCCAAUAAGUUUGAUU